rnacentral:rRNA from 1 species
AUUGAACGCUGGCGGCAGGCCUAACACAUGCAAGUCGAACGGUAACAGGAAGAAGCUUGCUUCUUUGCUGACGAGUGGCGGACGGGUGAGUAAUGUCUGGGAAACUGCCUGAUGGAGGGGGAUAACUACUGGAAACGGUAGCUAAUACCGCAUAACGUCGCAAGACCAAAGAGGGGGACCUUCGGGCCUCUUGCCAUCGGAUGUGCCCAGAUGGGAUUAGCUAGUAGGUGGGGUAACGGCUCACCUAGGCGACGAUCCCUAGCUGGUCUGAGAGGAUGACCAGCCACGCUGGAACUGAGACACGGUCCAGACUCCUACGGGAGGCAGCAGUGGGGAAUAUUGCACAAUGGGCGCAAGCCUGAUGCAGCCAUGCCGCGUGUAUGAAGAAGGCCUUCGGGUUGUAAAGUACUUUCAGCGGGGAGGAAGGGAGUAAAGUUAAUACCUUUGCUCAUUGACGUUACCCGCAGAAGAAGCACCGGCUAACUCCGUG